UAACAAAGAUGAGGUUUAUGUUUUUGUAGGUGAAGUUCCAUCUCCGCUGCAUCAUCAGUUACAUGCUCUUUACCCUCACCAAUUGCUCCAUGAAUACUAAGGACCUAUAUUUCAAUGCAGACAAAGGUAAACUUUCUCCCCUUCAAGUUCAAUUCUUUUUUCCCAAUUAACCCCAUUCAUUUAUGUUUCCUCAGCCUUGGCGAGCCAUUUUCUCACCAACAUCACAGAUGCCUAGGUAAACCUUCCCCUUUCCCCUUUGAUUCUCUCAACUCAACUCUUAUUCCUUUCAACUCUCACAUGAAACAUAAAAAAUUGACACUGCUUUUCCCUUAUCCCUUUCUCUUUUUGCAACAUUGAUCUGCUACUAUAUUGAUUAAUCAUUAGAGUAAAGCAUAUCAAUGGAACACAUAUGAUGAUAAGGUAUAGCUGUGAUGAAAUCCUGUCGGCUCCUCACAGUUUCUCUGAAGGUAUCAUUUGUGUUUGUGGAUGUCUGUGUGUUCUAAAUCAAAUUUGGUUCCUUUAUCAGAGAUUGGGAUUCAUUGUUUUGCUAUGGAUAUGCACAAUAUUAGGGGGAGGGUCUGAAGCUUUGUUUUCUUUAAUAUAUCUUCUUCAUAGUUUUGAUUCCUUUGGCUACAAAUGUUAAAUUACAAAACAUAAUAGAAAAAAUAACCAAACUAGAUGGUAAUGGUGAUUAAUUAAUUAUUUGGUUAAUCUGUGGAGGGUUAAAAACAACAUUUCCUAUAGAAAAGAGUUUGGAAUGUUAUAUAACUGAGUAAAUAAUGCUGAUAAUUGGCCUGUAAGAGUAGAGUGACACAUCUUAAAUAAAUAAGACUUGAAGAUCAGCAAAAGAGAGAUGACAUUGCAAUUUUGCAAUCCCCAUGUCCUAUAUCAUCCAUCAAAUUCUAUUAUUUGCCCCUCCCAAUGGAAUGAAAAUAUACGCUCCCUCAAAUGAACUCUUUGUUAAUUAGUUUUCUCUAUUAUUUGAGAAAGAAAAAUUUUCCAUCAAGCUUCAUGGCCCCAAGUGUUGAUGAAGUAGCUGAUCUGAAUGCCUCUUUAAAAGAAGAUCUCUGAUGGUCCAUUGGAAUGGUAUGAAUGGCUUCCAAGUUCCAUCCACAAAUUCUUCGCUUUGCCCACGUCUUAAAAUUCUGAUAGAAGAAUGUUUACUGCUCUUUUGGUUUCGAACCUCUCCUAGAAUAUUUAUUGCUGCUCUUCUUCCUUGAACCAUGCUUUUCCCUGCCACUUUUCCCCGCAAGCUUGCUUUGUACAAUUUGGAAUCAUGUCUUCGUGCACCAUUGAGUCUGAUCUUGAUAUGCUGAGUUAAGGGUUUAUGGUAUUUCCCGCGAAUAUAUAUGGUUAGAGUUGUGCCUAGGAUUGAGGGUUGAUGGAACACCGUAUUUGAUUCUGAUAAUGGUACAUUGCUAAAAGUUUGCUGCUAAUUUUGAUUGGUACAUUGCUAAAGUUUUAUUAUCUACAUGAUCUAGAUUUUGAUCA